GUGGGGAAUAUUGGACAAUGGGCGAAAGCCUGAUCCAGCCAUGCCGCGUGUGUGAAGAAGGUCUUCGGAUUGUAAAGCACUUUAAGCUGGGAGGAAGGGCAGUAAGUUAAUACCUUGCUGUUUUGACGUUACCGACAGAAUAAGCACCGGCUAACUUCGUGCCAGCAGCCGCGGUAAUACGAAGGGUGCAAGCGUUAAUCGGAAUUACUGGGCGUAAAGCGCGCGUAGGUGGUUUUGUAAGUUGGAGGUGAAAUCCCCGGGCUCAACCUGGGAACUGCCUCCAAAACUGCAUGACUAGAGUACGGUAGAGGGUAGUGGAAUUUCCUGUGUAGCGGUGAAAUGCGUAGAUAUAGGAAGGAACACCAGUGGCGAAGGCGACUACCUGGACUGAUACUGACACUGAGGUGCGAAAGCGUGGGGAGCAAACAGGAUUAGAUACCCGAGUAGUCC
rnacentral:rRNA from 1 species